AUUGAACGCUGGCGGCAGGCCUAACACAUGCAAGUCGAGCGAGAGGCGGACGGGUGAGAAAUGUAUGGGGACUGCCCGAUAGAGGGGGAUAACUAAUGGCAACGGUAGCUAAUACCGCAUACUAGCGGAUAACCCAUAUAGGAUUAGCUAGUAGGUGAGGUAAUGGCUAACCUAGGCGACGAUCCCUAGCUGGUCUGAGAGGAUGAUCAGCCCCACUGGGACUGAGACACGGCCCAGACUCCUACGGAGGCAGCAGUGGGGAAUAUUGCACAAGGGGCGCAAGCCUGAUGCAGCCAUGCCGCGUGUAUGAAGAAGGCCCUAGGGUUGUAAAGUACUUUCAGUCGGGAGGCGUUACCGACAGAAGAAGCACCGGCUAACUCCGUGCCAGCAGCCGCGGUAAUUC
rnacentral:rRNA from 1 species